GGGACACGUGGUAUCCUGUCUGAAUAUGGGGGGACCAUCCUCCAAGGCUAAAUACUCCUGACUGACCGAUAGUGAACCAGUACCGUGAGGGAAAGGCGAAAAGAACCCCGGCGAGGGGAGUGAAAAAGAACCUGAAACCGUGUACGUACAAGCAGUGGGAGCACGCUUAGGCGUGUGACUGCGUACCUUUUGUAUAAUGGGUCAGCGACUUAUAUUCUGUAGCAAGGUUAACCGAAUAGGGGAGCCGAAGGGAAACCGAGUCUUAACUGGGCGUUAAGUUGCAGGGUAUAGACCCGAAACCCGGUGAUCUAGCCAUGGGCAGGUUGAAGGUUGGGUAACACUAACUGGAGGACCGAACCGACUAAUGUUGAAAAAUUAGCGGAUGACUUGUGGCUGGGGGUGAAAGGCCAAUCAAACCGGGAGAUAGCUGGUUCUCCCCGAAAGCUAUUUAGGUAGCGCCUCGUGAAUUCAUCUCCGGGGGUAGAGCACUGUUUCGGCAAGGGGGUCAUCCCGACUUACCAACCCGAUGCAAACUGCGAAUACCGGAGAAUGUUAUCACGGGAGACACACGGCGGGUGCUAACGUCCGUCGUGAAGAGGGAAACAACCCAGACCGCCAGCUAAGGUCCCAAAGUCAUGGUUAAGUGGGAAACGAUGUGGGAAGGCCCAGACAGCCAGGAUGUUGGCUUAGAAGCAGCCAUCAUUUAAAGAAAGCGUAAUAGCUCACUGGUCGAGUCGGCCUGCGCGGAAGAUGUAACGGGGCUAAACCAUGCACCGAAGCUGCGGCAGCGACGCUUAUGCGUUGUUGGGUAGGGGAGCGUUCUGUAAGCCUGCGAAGGUGUGCUGUGAGGCAUGCUGGAGGUAUCAGAAGUGCGAAUGCUGACAUAAGUAACGAUAAAGCGGGUGAAAAGCCCGCUCGCCGGAAGACCAAGGGUUCCUGUCCAACGUUAAUCGGGGCAGGGUGAGUCGACCCCUAAGGCGAGGCCGAAAGGCGUAGUCGAUGGGAAACAGGUUAAUAUUCCUGUACUUGGUGUUACUGCGAAGGGGGGACGGAGAAGGCUAUGUUGGCCGGGCGACGGUUGUCCCGGUUUAAGCGUGUAGGCUGGUUUUCCAGGCAAAUCCGGAAAAUCAAGGCUGAGGCGUGAUGACGAGGCACUACGGUGCUGAAGCAACAAAUGCCCUGCUUCCAGGAAAAGCCUCUAAGCAUCAGGUAACAUCAAAUCGUACCCCAAACCGACACAGGUGGUCAGGUAGAGAAUACCAAGGCGCUUGAGAGAACUCGGGUGAAGGAACUAGGCAAAAUGGUGCCGUAACUUCGGGAGAAGGCACGCUGAUAUGUAGGUGAAGUCCCUCGCGGAUGGAGCUGAAAUCAGUCGAAGAUACCAGCUGGCUGCAACUGUUUAUUAAAAACACAGCACUGUGCAAACACGAAAGUGGACGUAUACGGUGUGACGCCUGCCCGGUGCCGGAAGGUUAAUUGAUGGGGUCAGCGCAAGCGAAGCUCUUGAUCGAAGCCCCGGUAAAC
rnacentral:rRNA from 1 species